AGGUUGAAACAUCGGUUCCCGUACGAUCACCGAAGUUAAGCAACGUCGAGCCUGGCAACUACCUAGAUGCGUGAUCACUUGAGAAUCUC